rnacentral:sRNA from 1 species
CAAGCUUUUUAGUUACAGAUGGUCGACCACCAAUGGAUAGAUAGCACACCGUUUUCAGUCUGGAUAACAUUUCCCGACUUCUGAUAAAGAGAGAGGUAUAUAUAGAGAGAGGGACUUACAGGCCCAUGGUAUGGGGAUGGUGAGGCCAAAGUCUAAUUUAAAUACAGACAUAAGUAAUCUGUAUACAUACAUGUCUCCAAAGGUUGAGGAGGAUAUUUAUUGGAUCAUGGUUAUGUCAGGAAUGAAGGGAUAGUUAACUAAUUAACUAACAAUAUAACAACAGAUGAAGCAUUUCCUGAUAAUCAAAUGCCCUACUCCGUACACCUUAUUAAAUUCAGUUGUCCAAUCGUCAGCCCCGGGCCUCCCACCACUUUCAUUGCAAAUAUCCGUCGCUUACAUCCCGAGCUAUUCAUUACUCUGGAUCAUUUGGAUGCGAAGCAGCAGCCCAGUUGCACCAGUCCUCCCC